CAUUUAUAUUUUGUUUGAUGGUCCCUGCUACUCGGAUAACCGGAUUAAUUCUAAAGCUAAUACUGUGCAACAAACCCCAACUUCUGGAAGGGAUGCAUUUAUUAGAUAAAAGGUCGACCCGGCCUCGCCCCCUUGCCGCUAUGAAUCAUUAUAACUCCACGGAGUCCCACGGGCCUCCGGCCGGCGACCCAUCCUUCUUAUUUCUCCCCUUUCAAUUUUUGGUGGUAGGAAAGUGGCCUACGCUGGUGGUGACGGGGGGAGGAGAAUUAAGGUUCGAUUCCGAAAAAGGAACCCGGAAAACGGCUACCACGUCCGAAGAAGGCACGCGGGUCACCAAUUCCCCAAUCCUGGAGGGGGGAAGUAUUGACAAUGAAUAACGAUACCGGGCUCUACGAGUCUGGGAAUUAGAAUGAGUACAAUCCAAAUCCCUUAACCAAGAUCCAUUGGAGGGCAAAUCUGGUGCCCGCAGCCGUUGUAAUUCCAACUCCCAUAACGUAUAUUUUAGUUGUUGCAAUUAAAAAACUUGUAAUUUGACUUUGGGUUGGGGCGGGCCGUCCGCCUGCGGUGUGCACCGGUCGGCUCGUUCCUU
rnacentral:rRNA from 1 species